UACGUAGGGUGCAAGCGUUGUUCGGAAUUACUGGGCGUAAAGGGCGCGUAGGCGGCCUUCUAAGUCGAACGUGAAAUCCCUGGGCUCAACCCAGGAACUGCGUCCGAUACUGGAAGGCUUGAAUCCGGGAGAGGGAUGCGGAAUUCCAGGUGUAGCGGUGAAAUGCGUAGAUAUCUGGAGGAACACCGGUGGCGAAGGCGGCAUCCUGGACCGGUAUUGACGCUGAGGCGCGAAAGCCAGGGGAGCAAACGGG
rnacentral:rRNA from 1 species